AAACAUCACGACAGCAUACUAUUUGGAAUUCAGAAAUCCAUUCAAGUCAUGCACCCCAAAGGAUGAUCCAUCAGUAUAUAGGAUAAAUCACCCAAGAAUGAUUACCAACUCAAGCAUCAUGUUCUAGAAAAAAUAUUCAGGCACACCAUGGUUUCCAAUUCAGAAGAUGAAGCACAGCAAACAGGCUAUUAAGCCCAAUUCUAAAAAUCAAACAUACCUCUAUUGAAUCUCAGGCUAGCGUAAUCCAUAGCUUUGCCUGGCAAGCCCGCCGGCCGGUCGCCGGAGCUGCCACCGCUAGCGACCGCCUCCCUGACUCUGCGCCCCCUGCUCCUUCUCCUUUAUUCCUUUCUCCCUCAUGCCCUGUCUCUCUUUCUAUGGAUGAGCAGGACGCCGUCGCCACCGGAGCAAGCCACCGCACCAGCAGCCAGAUCGGUCGCUGCCGCCCCCGGAUCCGCCCGUAUUACUCGCGCCGGCGCCGUGGCCUCGCUUCACCCACCGGCCGCCUGCCCGUUCCGACGAACUCCAGCGCCGCCAACCUUUUCCCCUGCGUCGAGGAGUUGCUCGAACCGCUGCCGUCCGUUGCGUGGCCCGGCAGCCCAGCCAGAUCGGCAGCUCGCCCGCGUGGGCUGCGCGGAUGGACGGACAGGAAGACCAUCCGCAGGUGGCGGCGGUGGCGUCCGUACCCCGGCUCUCCUUCGAUGCAUACGUGCCCGUGUGUCAUGUGUUUUUUUCCAACCCUUGCG
rnacentral:lncRNA from 1 species